rnacentral:rRNA from 1 species
GACGAACCGUCCGAACGUUAUUCGGUAUCACUGGGCUUAAAGAGUUCGUAGGCGGCCUAGCAGGUCAGGUGUGAAAUCCCACAGCUCAACUGUGGAAUUGCGCUUGAUACCAUUAGGCUGGAGGGAGAUAGAGGUAAGCGGAACAGAUGGUGGAGCGGUGAAAUGCGUUGAUAUCAUCUGGAACACCGGUGGCGAAAGCGGCUUACUGGAUCUUUUCUGACGCUGAGGAACGAAAGCUAGGGUAGCGAACGGG